rnacentral:rRNA from 1 species
GACGAACGCUGGCGGCGUGCUUAACACAUGCAAGUCGAGCGGUAAGGCCCUUUCGGGGGUACACGGGCGGCGAACGGGUGAGUAACACGUGGGUGACCUGCCCUCAGCUCUGGGAUAAGCCUGGGAAACUGGGUCUAAUACCGGAUAUGACCCUAUGGCGCAUGUUGUGGGGUGGAAAGCCUUGUGCGGCUAGGGAUGGGCCCGCGGCCUAUCAGCUUGUUGGUGGGGUGAUGGCCUACCAAGGCGACGACGGGUAGCCGGCCUGAGAGGGCGACCGGCCACACUGGGACUGAGACACGGCCCAGACUCCUACGGGAGGCA